GAUGAGCAAAAGCAAGAUUCAGGGGUCCCAUAGUUGUGUUCUUUUCCAGGUAUCCUGGUUUCAGUUAGGACAGAGUUAAUUUUCCUCCUAGUAGCUGUUAGGGUGCUCUGUUUUGGAUUAGAAUGAGAAGAGUGCUGAUAACACGCUGAUGUUUUAAUUGUUGCAGAGCAGUGCUUACACCAAGCCAAGGACAUUUCAGCUUCUCGCUCUGUCCUGCCAGCGGGCAGGCUGGGGGUGCAACAAGAGCUAGGAGGGGACAGACCUAGGAAAGCUGACCCAAACUGGCCAAAGGGGUAUUCCACACCAUCUGAUGUCAUGCUAAACAAUAGAUAGGGGUGGCUAGCUGGGGUGGGGGGGGCAGGCUGCUCGGGGUUAGGCUGGGCAUUGGUCAGUGAGUGGCGAGCAAUUGCAUCGCUCAUCACUUGUUUCGUACACAUUAUUAUUAGUAGUACUAUUAUCAUCAUUAUUGUUAUUAUUAUUAUUGUUAUUACUAUUUUUCUGUCUUAGUAAACUGUCUUUAUCUCAACUCACGGGCUUCACUUUCCCAUUUCUCUCCCCCAUUCCAGAGAGGGAGGGGGGAGGGUGAGUGAACAGCUGUAUGGUGUUUAGCUGAUGGUCGGGUUAAACCACAACACCGGGCAAUGCUCUGUGAGUGCUGGUACCCAGAGGACAUCAGCAUUGGCAUUAAGUGGGUGCAGAGCCUUCCAGAGUCCAAAUCUCGGUUUCCUCCAGGCGUGUGGAUCACGGGGCCUCAUCCAUCCUUCUUCACAAGACAUCUCCGAUGCCCUUGGCAGGAUUUCCCGAGGGAAGAAAUAUUACAAUACGUUAUUACAGCCUGCCAUGGUACAAGACUCAUUUCCUCUGGGUGUGCCAGCACGGGGAUUAUCAGCCUGGACAGAAUCACAAAUUAAAGCAUGGAAACCCUCCCAGGCUCAUUGUCCGGGGAUUUCAGCAUGGAUGCAAGCAGCAGAGAUGCAAUUGCUACAUGAAGGCUACUGCCUCUGUGUGCCUGGUGCUGUACCAAUGCAGAGACAGCCUGAGCUUCACUGGGAUCAGCAUCCCAUGUGUCCAGCCUGAGAUAAGAGACCAUCUGACCUCCAGUAACCACUGGGGAUCAUGAGGAACAAAGCACCAUCUCCAUACCACCCACCACAAAAAGGGUGGAAAAUCACAAGCACCUUGUUUACAGACCUGGAGCCUCUCUGUGAGUUAUACCCAACCUCCAGCUGCCUCCUGCUUCAACGGCCCCCAGCUGAUGCUCUCCACAGCUGCAGUCUCCUCCUCCUCCUCUCUGCGCAAUCCUGUGUGCCAAGCCACUGCCUUUUGACCAUAGCUCUCAGAAGCAUUUCAAUGCCCU
rnacentral:lncRNA from 1 species